UGAGGAAUUUUGCGCAAUGGGAGCAAUCCUGACGCAGCAACGCCGCGUGGGUGAUGAAGGCCUUCGGGUCGUAAAGCCCUGUCAGGUGGGAAGAAUGUCCCGGGACUGCACAGGUUCCGGGAGUGACGGUACCACCAGAGGAAGCACCGGCUAACUCCGUGCCAGCAGCCGCGGUAAUACGGAGGGUGCAAGCGUUAUUCGGAAUUACUGGGCGUAAAGCGCGUGUAGGCGGUCUGGGAAGUCGGAGGUGAAAGCCCCGGGCUUAACCCGGGAAGUGCAUUGGAAACUGUGGGACUUGAGUACGGGAGAGGAUGGGGGAAUUCCCGGUGUAGAGGUGAAAUUCGUAGAGAUCGGGAGGAAUAUCAGUGGCGAAGGCGCCCAUCUGGACGGUAACUGACGCUGAGACGCGAAAGCGUGGGGAGCAAACA
rnacentral:rRNA from 1 species